rnacentral:pre_miRNA from 1 species
AACCAGCGCAGACUGGCAUAGACCAGGCAUCUCUGGGCGAGUAUCUCUUUGAGCACCUCACUGUCAAGCAUGACUAGGAGG